GACGAACGCUGGCGGCGUGCCUAAUACAUGCAAGUCGAACGAGAGCGCCCGGUGCUUGCACUGGCCAAUCUAGUGGCGAACGGGUGAGUAACACGUGGGUAACCUGCCCAUCAGAGGGGGAUAACAUCCGGAAACGGAUGCUAAAACCGCAUAGGUCUUCGAACCGCAUGGUUUGAAGAGGAAAAGAGGCGCAAGCUUCUGCUGAUGGAUGGACCCGCGGUGCAUUAGCUAGUUGGUGAGGUAACGGCUCACCAAGGCCGUGAUGCAUAGCCGACCUGAGAGGGUGAUCGGCCACAUUGGGACUGAGACACGGCCCAAACUCCUACGGGAGGCAGCAGUAGGGAAUCUUCCGCAAUGGACGCAAGUCUGACGGAGCAACGCCGCGUGAGUGAAGAAGGUUUUCGGAUCGUAAAACUCUGUUGUUAGAGAAGAACAAGUGCUAGAGUAACUGUUAGCGCCUUGACGGUAGCUAACCAGAAAGCCACGGCUAACUACGUG
rnacentral:rRNA from 1 species